rnacentral:rRNA from 1 species
AUGCAGCUCGCCCCUUUGUGCACCGACCCGUUCGUGAUAUCCUGCACCUUCGUGUGCCUCUUGCUCCUUCUAGCGCUCCCCUACCUGAACCCCAACUCCGUCACCGGCCGCCGACUUCCACCAGGAACUCGUGGCGUCCCGGUCCUCGGCGCGCUACCGCUGGUCGGCCCGGCCCCUCACUCGGGUCUCGCGGCGCUGGCGCGCAAGUAUGGUCCCGUCAUGUACCUGAGGAUGGGUACCUGCGGCGUGGUGGUGGCGUCGUCGCCCUCGGCCGCACGGACGUUCUUGAAGGCGCUGGACGAGCGGUUCGCGAACCGGCCGGUGAUGGCCAGCGCGGAGGACAUGUCGUACGGGUGCCAGAACAUGGUGUUCGCCAACUACGGGCCCAAGUGGAAGCUGUUGCGGAAGCUGUCGAGCGUGCACCUUCUCGGGGCGCGCGGGGUGGCUGACUGGGCGAGCGUGCGCCGCGACGAGGCCGGCCGCGCCCUGCGUGCCAUCCUGGAGGCCGCGGAGGCCGGGCGGCCCGUCGUCGUGCCGGAGAUGCUCGUGUGCGCGCUUGCCAACAUCGUGGGGAGGAUCACCGUGAGCAAGCGGGUGUUCGACACGCAGGGUGACGAGUCCAACACCUACAAGGAGAUGAUCAAGACGCUCCUCACCGGCACGGGGCUCUUCAACAUCAGCGACUUCGUGCCGGCGCUGUCGUGGCUGGACCUGCAGGGCGUGCAGGCCAAGCUGCUCCGGAUCCACAUCCAGUUCGACGGGCUAGUCACCAAGUGGCUGGCGGAGCACACGGCGACGUCCGAGGGCCGUGUCAGGGAGGGACGCCUGGACUUCGUGGACAAGCUCCGUGCCAUCAACGACGACGAGGGGGCCGAGACCAUCACCGAGGUCAACAUCAAGGGCCUUAUCACUGACAUGUUCACGGCCGGGACGGACACGUCGUCGAUCAUCGUGGAGUGGGCAAUGGCGGAGAUGAUCAAAAGCCCGUCUAUCAUGGCACGCGCCCAGGAGGAGAUGGACCGUGUCAUCGGUCGUGACCGCCGCCUCGAGGAAUCCGACAUUGCCAACCUCCCCUACCUGCAAGCUAUAUGCAAAGAGGCCAUGCGCCUCCACCCCCCCACGCCACUCAGCCUCCCACACUUCUCCUUUGAGGAGUGCGAGGUCGAUGGACACCAUGUCCCUGCCAACACGCGGCUCAUCAUCAACAUCUGGGCCAUCGGCCGGGACCCGGCCGCAUGGGAGGAUCCCUUGGAAUUUCGGCCAGAGCGGUUUCUGUCCGGGCCGGCGGCCAAGAUCGACCCGGUGGGGAACAAUUUUGAACUGAUCCCAUUUGGCGCCGGUAGAAGGAUAUGCGCUGGGAUGCUGGCCGGAAUGGUGUUUGUGCAGUACUUCCUGGGAAUGCUGGUGCACGCAUUUGAGUGGCGGCUGCCAGACGGAGAGGAUAAGGUGGACAUGGCUGAGACCUUCGGGCUGGCACUGCCCAAGACCGUCCCGCUUAAGGCCGUCGUCAAGCCGCGGCUUGUGCCUGCCGCAUACACAUGA